rnacentral:rRNA from 1 species
CCUACGGGAGGCAGCAGUGAGGAAUAUUGGUCAAUGGGCGUAAGCCUGAACCAGCCAAGUCGCGUGAGGGAUGAAGGUUCUAUGGAUCGUAAACCUCUUUUAUAAGGGAAUAAAGUGUGGGACGUGUCCUGUUUUGUAUGUACCUUAUGAAUAAGGAUCGGCUAACUCCGUGCCAGCAGCCGCGGUAAUACGGAGGAUCCGAGCGUUAUCCGGAUUUAUUGGGUGUAAAGGGUGCGUAGGCGGCCUUUUAAGUCAGCGGUGAAAGUCUGUGGCUCAACCAUAGAAUUGCCGUUGAAACUGGGAGGCUUGAGUAGGUUUGAGGCAGGCGGAAUGCGUGGUGUAGCGGUGAAAUGCUUAGAUAUCACGCAGAACCCCGAUUGCGAAGGCAGCCUGCCAAGCCAUGACUGACGCUGAUGCACGAAAGCGUGGGGAUCAAACAGGAUUAGAUACCCCAGUAGUC